UACAGAGGUCCCAAGCGUUGUUCGGAUUCACUGGGCGUAAAGGGCUCGUAGGCGGUUUGUCGCGUCGGGAGUGAAAACCUUGGGCUUAACUCAGGGCUUGCUUUUGAUACGGGCGGGCUAGAGUUCGGUAGGGGAGACUGGAAUUCCUGGUGUAGCGGUGAAAUGCGCAGAUAUCAGGAGGAACACCAAUUGCGAAGGCAGCUCGCUGGGACGUUACUGACGCUGAGACGCGAAAGCGUGGGGAGCAAACAGG
rnacentral:rRNA from 1 species